rnacentral:rRNA from 1 species
AUUGAACGCUGGCGGCAUGCCUUACACAUGCAAGUCGAACGGCAGCACGGGAGCAAUCCUGGUGGCGAGUGGCGAACGGGUGAGUAAUAUAUCGGAACGUGCCCAGUCGUGGGGAUAACGUAGCGAAAGCUACGCUAAUACCGCAUACGAUCUAUGGAUGAAAGCGGGGGAUCGCAAGACCUCGCGCGAUUGGGAGCGGCCGAUAUCAGAUUAGGUAGUUGGUGAGGUAAAGGCUCACCAAGCCGACGAUCUGUAGCUGGUCUGAGAGGACGACCGAGCCACACUGGGACUGAGACACGGCCCAGACUCCUACGGAGGCAGCAGUGGGGAA